UUUGUUUGUUUACAUAUUUAGAAGACCUAGUACCGGAUGGAUUAACUUCAAAACUAGAGUGAAUAGUUACAAGAAAAAAGGACAUAAUGAUCCACAAAUUCACUGACUCAGAAUAUUGAAUAGUGACCAUGGGCCAGGCUCUCGGCUAGACCCUGGGGGGAGAGGGAGAAGUGAACAAGGCUCGCGUCCUUGGAAUGUUGACUUGAGCUGUGCGUGUGCAAAUGGGAUGCAGAGAGACAAUACUCAGGAUAGAGAAGGUCAUCCCACCACAAGAAAAUUUGUCCAAGGGCAUGCACAUCCUGGAAAUUGACUCUGCCUCUCUUUAGGAGGUCCCCUAGUUCCUGAGUGGUGGAAGUUUUUUCAGGAGGUAUUUUGGU